GAUGAACGCUAGCGAUAGGCUUAACACAUGCAAGUCGAGGGGCAGCACAAGGUAGCUUGCUAUCUGGGUGGCGACCGGCGCACGGGUGCGUAACGCGUAUGCAACUUGCCCUAUACAGGAGGAUAACCCGUCGAAAGACGGACUAAUACUGCGUAUGCUCACAACUUGGCAUCAAGUGGUGAGGAAAGAAAUUCGGUAUAGGAUAGGCAUGCGUCCCAUUAGCUUGUUGGUGAGGUAACGGCUCACCAAGGCAACGAUGGGUAGGGGAACUGAGAGGUUUAGCCCCCACACUGGUACUGAGACACGGACCAGACUCCUACGGGAGGCAGCAGUGAGGAAUAUUGGUCAAUGGGCGCGAGCCUGAACCAGCCAAGUCGCGUGAAGGAUGACUGUCUUAUGGAUUGUAAACUUCUUUUAUACGGGAAUAACAAGAGUCACGUGUGACUCCCUGCAUGUACCGUAUGAAUAAGCAUCGGCUAACUCCGUG
rnacentral:rRNA from 1 species